rnacentral:lncRNA from 1 species
UUCGGGGCGCCUAGGCGCCUGGACAUGGCGCCUAGGCGCCCAGUUUCUGCUCCGGCAGAAACUGGGCAGCGCCUAGGCGCUGUCCAUGCAGCGCCUAGGCGCUGCUUGCCUUCUCUUCCCUUUCUUCUCUUCUUGCUUCCCUCCUUCUCACAGUAACCUAUCUAUAUUGCUCAAGUAUCUGUUGAUCUUAUCAUAUUUUUAUGUCUUAGGAAUGGUCACGAGCUUCGAAAACACGUAUGCAAAUAGUGGAGCAAAAAUGAGCGUUAAACACCGAAAUGAGGACAAUUUGGAGAGCACGAUGGGAAGAUUCAUAGAUUUCCAUUUGGCAUAUAAUAUAUUAUGGGAAAUAUCAUCCAAUCUGGAGUCUAACGCAAAUAAUAGAUUGCAAAUCGGAGUUGUAGAUAAAAAGUUAUGUGAAACUGAAGUUGGACUAUAGAGACUGAGUACAAGCGACCGCUGGUGUAACGUGGUGGCGCAAGUUGAAGCUUCGCUGGUUCAAGUAAGCAGCACCAAACUUCAUGGCGGCCUCAGGGAGGGUGAUUCUGGUGUUUUGGUCACGAAUUUCAAGGAAAUCUAUCUAACCCAACGAUAGAUAUCUCUUCAUUCAAUUUGUUUAUUGUUCAAACGAUGUGUAAUUAAACUCAUUUGUUAGGAUAAUCGUAACCUAAUUUUGAAGAUAAGCUCCAGUAUUGUAAAAAGUGCAUGCCUUUACCAUCACUAGAGUAUCUGCCUGUGUAGAGACUUGAGCAUGAAUCAAUUAAAAGUAAUUAUAAAGGAAUUUUAUGGAAAUAUGUGUUGUGGAGAAUUACCAUUCAAAUCAUUGGAGACUCUGAUUUUUGACGACAUGCCAGAACGGGAGGAAUGGCUUGGAUUAACACGUGAAGUAGAUGGGGAAAUUAAAUUCCCCAAGAUGUAUAAAUUGUGCAUAAAAGAAUGUGCCAAAUUGAUAAGCUUCCUAAAUUAUUACUUCUGUUUGUGGAUUAUAA